rnacentral:rRNA from 1 species
UACGGCUCAGUAACACGUCGAUAAUCUACCCUUAGGUCCGGGAUAACGUUGGGAAACUGACGAUAAAACCGGAUUGGGAAAUUCUACUGGAAGGUGAAUUUCCUUAAACGCAAGGCCUAAGGAUGAGUCGGCGGCGGAUUAGGUUGUUGGCGAGGUAACGGCUCACCAAGCCGAAGAUCCGUAGGGGCCUUGAAAGAGGUAGCCCCGAGAAGGGCACUGAGACACUGGCCCUAGCUCCACGGAGUGCAGCAGGCGCGAAAACUUUACAAUGCACGCAAGUGUGAUAAGGGAAUCCUAAGUGAUGACGCAAAGCGUCAUCUUUUGCCAAGAGCAAAUAUCUUGGAGAAUAAGUGGUGGGCAAUACCUGUGCCAGCCGCCGCGGUAACCCAGGAGCCACAAGUGGCAACCACUUUUAUUUGGCCUAAAGCGUCCGUAGCCGGUUUUGUAAAUUUUCUGUGAAAUCGUUGCGCUUAACGUAACGGCGCGCAGAAAACACUGCAAGACUUGGGACCGGGAGGAGUUGGGGGUAUUUGAGGGGGAGCGGUAAAAUGCUAUAAUCCUUCAAGGACCACCUGUGGCGAAGGCGCCCAACUAGAACGGAUCCGACGGUGAGGGACGAAAGCUAGGGGAGCAAUCCGGAUUAGAUACCCGAGUAGUCCUAGCCGUAAACGCUGUGUGUUAGGUGUUGCGCAAUCUUCGGGAUUGCGU